rnacentral:lncRNA from 1 species
CCUCAAAUCCAUGGCCCCAUCCUGAUCCCCUCCUGCAAAAGGCUUGUUCCUGAGUUCCACCAUCCCUCCAGGCUUGGGGCAAAUGAACAGGGUUUGCAUCCCCUUCGCCUCUGGGGCGGGGGUCUCCUGAAAGAACAGGCUUUUGGAAUGUGACCUCCGGCUGGGCGGUGGACUCUAGCUGCUUGUGCAAGAGCUGCUCUCUUGCCACAGGCCACAGGUGGGGGUGUGCUCAGCAGGGCUAUGGGUACAGGUAACCUGCCCUCUCACACUGCAAGGAUUUUGACAGAAAGAGCAGGGCGAAGAUAACCUGGCUAGGAACUAACUUGGCUCCUUGGGGACACAGAGCACCCACAGCCCAGUAUUCCUGGGUUGGGUUUGCCCUCCCAGCCCCCAAACUAGGUAGGGCUCUUCUUUUGCCCAAGUACAGCUGGAGGCAGGGUGUUUCAGAGGGUGCAGUUAAUGACCUUGACAGGCACAGAAGCUUGCAUGCAGGAUCCUAUAAGGCCAUGCAUUUCCCCUUUCUCCACAGCUUUUCUGUUUAAUUUGUCUUCAUUCCUUCUUUCUAGGCCUUUCUGCCUGCCUGGAGUCAUCUGGAGAGAAAUCAAGUGUGAGCACCUCUCCCGCAGAAAGUUCUUGCAAGGUUCCAGUCGACUAAAUGAGCUUGCCUUCUGCCAGGAGUAAGGCAGUCCUGCAAGACAGAACCAAAGUGCCAUUCCCCAGGAAGCUCUUCUUUGUCAGAACAUCCCUGGUCCUUUUGCUUUUGUUUCUGAAUUAAAAAGAUGUGUUUGCCUGCC